rnacentral:lncRNA from 1 species
AGCAGCAGCAGCAGCAGCAACACAACAGCAGGCGGCCGCCUUCGCCAGCCAGCCAACCAAACCAACCAACCAGGCAAGCAGCCCCGCGACCUAGAAACAGCCUCGGAACUCUCCUUCCCGGGGAUGCGGGAGAGAGCCGAGCCCAAUUGCGGAGAGGCACAAGAGCGCUUACUGCGGGCAACGGGAAGCGCCGCAAUGGAACAUUAUGAAGAGCGGGCAGGCGGCGAGCGCGGUGGGGGUGUCCCGUUCGCUAAACGUGCCCGGCUCACUUCCGGCGUAUCAUUAUUGCUUGCUUUCUCUUUUUCUCUCCUUUUCUUCUGUAUCGCUUGACGCACCUCCUGCUUUUUUCUUUUUUGCAGGAGGGGGAAAGAGUGGAGCGAAGUAUUUAGCAGCGCGCCGGCUCGGGACAACAACGGCUCUUGUUGUUGUUGUUGUUGUUGUUGUUGUUGCUGCUGCUUUAAUCUCCUGAUAUAAUGCCUGCGUGACCUUGGGAAAGCGCCUUGCACUCCUUUUUCCUGUUCCUGUCGUCAUUCAUAGGAAUAUCAUUUCCCUGUACCCUUCGGUUGCGUGGUGACCUUUGCGUCUCUCCUAUGGCGGACGGGUUGGGAAAGGAGCAGGGGAGCCAGAGGGAAACCGGGGUGGGUGGACGCAGAGGCACAGCUCGUGAGAACCCAGUGAUUUUGGGGGGGGGAGUUGCUCAUUUUUAAUUCAAAAGGCAGCGAUCGUGGUUUUAAAGCUAAAAAAACACUGAGCAAGGAUCGUGGUUAAUUUAAGUCAACGGAGAGCAAUCGUGGUAUUAAAGCUGUAACAGAUCAGCUAUUCUUUUUGGGGCGGGGGGGUUCUCGUCACAAUUAUUGCCAAGAAAAAGCUUUAAGUUUAUUCCAAACUCAAAGAGCGGAGAGUUUGCACAUUCGGAGAGGUUUAAAAUGAAUGCACACCCUGCAUUUAAAGCACAUUGCUUCCCCUCCCCCCCUCACAAGAAUCCUGAAAACUGUCAUUUACCCUUCACAGAGUGACAGGUCCCAGCUGCCUUAACAAACUAUACUUCCUAGGGUUCCGUGGGGAGGGUGUUAUGUGCUUUACAUGUAUGGUGCAUACACUUACUGGUUUUACAUGUUUACAUUGUCACUGUUUCGGUGCAUGUGUGCACGCAUGAAGCAGCUUUGUGGAUUUCUCAGCAAAUAUCCAGAUCACCACUCUCCACCUGCUGAAAAAUAUUAGAAAAAGUGGAUUGCAUUUGCAAUGAGAAACAAUAUGGGCACAUGCAAUAUUUUACAAGACCGCAAACCUAUUGAGAGGGUCAACCCAUGUUGACUCCAAAGCAUGAAAACAGGUAAUGAGAAAUCUUCUCUGUAUAACAUUUCCCCCUACAGUGUGUCAAACAUGAGGGAAAAGCAAUUCUGAAAUUACAAAUGCUCAGAUCUUCACCUGCAUUAUCCUUGCCUUUCUACAUGAAUCCCAAAGCCAUGCUUUCGUUGAUUAAGCAGUAUGUAACUCUCACUAAAUAAAUACAGCACCAGAAUUCUUAUCAAACACAGAUUUAAAAUCUGAACCAGAGAAAACUUCCAAAGUUUUCUUUCCCUACCCACCAUCCACUACCCUUCCCCUUAAAGCUGUUUGACUGAGCAGUGGCAGCAUGUGAUAGGCAUUGUUUCAGAAUAGAUUAAGGGUGGGAAAAAGUCCCACUGAACACAGUGAGACUUACUUCUGAGCAAAUAUGUAUAAGAUUGGUCUGCAAGUGAGAGGCAUAAUAGUCAAGAUUAGACUGUAUGAGAAUAAGCCAUUUGGGCACAUCUACGCAACAAGCUUAGGACAUCCCUACACAUGUCAACUCAGAAGGAAGUCUCGUUGAAUUCACUGGGACUUAUUCUCAAUUAAGUGGACACGGAACAGCAGCCUCAAACUCUCUGCUCUUUGAGUUUGCUCUGUCUAACGAAUCCUAUAAACUUGUAUUGUGAGAAAAGCUAGGGAGCAUUAACAGAAUUCUCAGCACUCACACCAAACAGCAGUUCCCAGUAUCCUUUAGGGAAAGCCAUGAGAGUACAUAUGUUAUAUAAAUGACACUACUUUUAUAGUGCAGAAAGAAGUAUGAGAUCAUUCACAAUGUAAUAAAUAAUUAUCACUCUUUUUCAUUACUGUAAGCCACCAAGCCAUAAACAACUCAGAAACUGACAAAUGUCUUCUUAACGUCCAACACCCUUCUGAAAAGGCAUUUACUGUAUAUUUAGCAUCCAGUAAUAUGCAGAUUUAUAUAGAUCUGUUGAUUGCCUUGUAGCUGAUUAAUUGAUCAACUAAUUAAAACAUUAUUUAAUUGAUUGACAGCUCUAGUAAAUAGUCUUGUGACAGACACCUUAGAAAUUGACUCUAAAUUGGUAGAAGCCUAUAAAAAUGCAGCUCACGAUAAAUCUCUCUCAGGGAUCCUGCAUUCUCUGAGCCUGUCGCCAGGCAAAGCAGUCUGUAGGGCAUCAUGAGGGAAUCCUCGACAUGUUUACUAAGCAGUAAGUUCCACUACAGUCAGUGGAGUUUACUCCCUACUAGGGCUGCGUGAUAUCUGGUUUUCAUCAUCACGAUAUAUCACCAGCUAAAUAUGGUAUCUCGUUAUAUCGCUAUAUAUCUGCAGCGACGGAGGGCCUUGCUGUGGUGGGGCCUGCCAUACCUUCCUGCAGCAGCGGAGAUUGUGCCACACUUCACUGCAGCAGCAGAGGCUCCCUGUGGUGGCAGAGGGUGUGGCGUGCUUCUCUCAUCAUCUGAAAGCUUUACAAAGUGGGGUGGAUCCUCAGGACUUUAUCACUAUUUGGAGAACUUCCACAACACAUAUGAACAAACAAUCACUUUGUCUCAUGUAUCCAUGCAAGUAUGACUUAACUUGUUGGAACUUGUAAGACACAGUGGUACCUCGGGUUAAGUACCUAAUUCGUUCUGGAGGUCCGUACUUAACCUGAAACUGUUCUUAACCUGAAGCAUCACUUUAGCUAAUGGGGCCUCCCGCUGCCGCCGGAGCACGAUUUCUGUUCUCAUCCUGAAGCAAAGUUCUUAACCUGAAGCACUAUUUCUGGGUUAGCGGAGUCUGUAACCUGAAGCGUAUGUAACCCGAGGUACCACCGUACUUUCUUUUGGUGCAGGCUGGUGAGCAAUAUCUUGCCUCUGUCUGCUCUGGCAGGAUCUAUACACAGGAAAAAAAACCACUAUAAAUAAGUCAUGAAUUAAAUUGUUAUAACAAAAGAGGGAAAACUAUGUAAAAUCGCAUAGACAAAGUUUUGUACUCUACAGCACCAUCUGGUGUCACAUGUUUAUAACAUAGUUAUACCAUUGUAACAUGGCUAAUGUAGCUGAGUCAUCUGUCUUUGACAACACUCUUUUUACCUGGUUCUUAACCCUCACACUUGUCUUCUUCAAUAGCACUGUGGAGGAAGAACACAGGUUUCUCUCUUUAUUUCUAUGCUGUAUCCUUACAUUUUGUAUACGUACAGAUGUAUUAAUAGAAAUAAACAAACAACAGAAGCAAG